rnacentral:miRNA from 1 species
AUUCCUUCCGUCGAUGAGGUAUAACACCCUCAUUGACGGAAGGGAUUCCUUCCGUCGAUGAGGUAUAGCACCCUCAUCGACGGAAGGGAU